AGUGUCUCGUUUGCAGUCGGCGCUUUAGGGGAACUGUCUUCCUCCGCAGGCGCGAGGCUGGGUACAGGGUCUAUUGUCUGUGGUUGACUCCGUACUUUGGUCUGAGGCCUUCGGGAGCUUUCCCGAGGCAGUUAGCAGAAGCCGCAGCGGCCGCCCCCGCCCGUCUCCUCUGUCCCUGGGCCCGGGAGGGACCAACUUGGCGUCACGCCCCUCAGCGGUCGCCACUCUCUUCUCUGUUGUUGGGUCCGCAUCGUAUUCCCGGAAUCAGACGGUGCCCCAUAGAUGGCCAGCUUUCCCCCGAGGGUCAACGAGAAAGAGAUCGUGAGAUUACGUACUAUAGGUGAACUUUUAGCUCCUGCAGCUCCUUUUGACAAGAAAUGUGGUCGUGAAAAUUGGACUGUUGCUUUUGCUCCAGAUGGUUCAUACUUUGCUUGGUCACAAGGACAUCGCACAGUAAAGCUUGUUCCGUGGUCCCAGUGCCUUCAGAACUUUCUCUUGCAUGGCACCAAGAAUGUUACCAAUUCAAGCAGUUUAAGAUUGCCAAGACAAAAUAGUGAUGGUGGUCAGAAAAAUAAGCCUCGUGAACAUAUUAUAGACUGUGGAGAUAUAGUCUGGAGUCUUGCUUUUGGGUCAUCAGUUCCAGAAAAACAGAGUCGCUGUGUAAAUAUAGAAUGGCAUCGCUUCAGAUUUGGACAAGAUCAGCUACUUCUUGCUACAGGGUUGAACAAUGGGCGUAUCAAAAUAUGGGAUGUAUAUACAGGAAAACUCCUCCUUAACUUGGUAGAUCAUACUGAAGUGGUCAGAGAUUUAACUUUUGCUCCAGAUGGAAGCUUGAUCCUGGUGUCAGCUUCAAGAGACAAAACUCUCAGAGUAUGGGACCUGAAAGAUGAUGGAAACAUGAUGAAAGUAUUGAGGGGGCAUCAGAAUUGGGUGUACAGCUGUGCAUUCUCUCCUGACUCUUCUAUGCUGUGUUCAGUCGGAGCCAGUAAAGCAGUGGUGGCAGCAAUAUUGGUGUGAUUGAGGUUAUGCUGGCACCACUCGCACACAGGCGCACAAUGGUGUUAGCUGGGCAGAAAGAGUGGCAUCUCUGGCUACCGGGCUGGGGGCGACCUUUACCAUAGGAUGAAGUAACCUUGCAUUCGGCUGCAAGGUGUACUGUACGUACACAGGUGCUGGUCGAUGUCCACUUUCUGCUUUUCUUUCUUUCUUUUUUUCUUUUUUAAAGUAAUUUCCCCCACAGUAAAAUACACUGACUCCUGAGUAAAUUGAUUUUCCAGUUUUAUGGAAUUGGGAGUCUGACAAGUGAAACCAAUUUAAUGUAAAGUAUUUGGCUUUCAAAUGGUUUCUCUGUGCUAUUUUUUGGAAUUCUUUCAGAUUCCAGAGAUAUCUUACGUCUUUGAUUCAAUUUAAAAUUUGUACUUAUUUUCUUUUAGAAAUAAUGUAUUGUGUCUGUGCAGAAAAAAAAAAAACCAAAAAGGAUUGCUUUACUCCAAGAGGAGAGAUUGUCUUAGGAUAAACCUCCAAGCUCACAUUUAAUAUAACAGACUGAAGUAAACAUUAGAAUCCUGUUUAGAGCUAUUCUGCACAGUUAACUACUGAUCUUUAGAAUCUAAAAUUGUAUAUGAACUUAUUCUUAAAUAAUUGAACCGUUUUAUAUUCAAAUGACUUAUGAUCGUGGUUAGUUUGGGAAAAAUAAGAUGGUUAAAUUUUGAUUUAUUGAAAUGUAAUUGUAUUAUUUUCAUAAAAUAGCAUUUUCAUUUUGUAAUGUGGUUUAACAUCCUUGUUGUUUGCCAAAGAAAUUUCAUUUGGCUGUGAAUAUUCUAUUUGCUUGCAGUAUCUGUUUCUCUUCCUAGGCUCAAGUUGGUGACCCAAGCCUAUUGUAAACAAGUGAUUAUCUCAAAGGGAGAUGCCAAUGGAGUAACAAUUUGUUAACCUUACGUUUUCUGUCUGUAUAUUUUUUUAAAAAUCUGGUAGUUUCUGGAAAAAAAAGAGAAGGGGGUUUGUAGUACUUAACCCUAUUUAUUUCCGUAUAUUUUAGUUAAUUAGUUUUUGGAAUAAAUGGAUUUCAGUAUAGCUUUGUGGUUAAAUUGCAUUGCCUUUAUUUUAUGUUUAGGCUUAUUUUUAAAUUAACAUUUAACAGAAACAUUUGAAAUAGAAUUUGCAUGUCUGCCUUAAUUAACUUAAAGACUGAUUUUAAUCUGACUAUGACACUGAGCAUAUUCUUUAAAUUACUCAUAAUUUAUAAUGCUUAAUAUAAUCUUAAUUAAAUUUAGCAGUUUUAGUAUAAGAUGUGCCAUUUUGUCCUCUGUAUGUCUGAAUGAAGCUAUAACAUUUGCCUUUUUAUUGCAGGUUUUCCUUUGGAAUAUGGAUAAAUACACCAUGAUACGGAAACUAGAAGGACAUCACCAUGAUGUGGUAGCUUGUGACUUUUCUCCUGAUGGAGCAUUACUGGCUACUGCAUCUUAUGAUACUCGAGUAUAUAUCUGGGAUCCACAUAAUGGAGACAUUCUGAUGGAAUUUGGGCACCUGUUUCCCCCACCUACUCCAAUAUUUGCUGGAGGAGCAAAUGACCGGUGGGUACGAUCUGUAUCUUUUAGCCAUGAUGGACUGCAUGUUGCAAGCCUUGCUGAUGAUAAAAUGGUGAGGUUCUGGAGAAUUGAUGAGGAUUAUCCAGUGCAAGUUGCACCUUUGAGCAAUGGUCUUUGCUGUGCCUUCUCUACUGAUGGCAGUGUUUUAGCUGCUGGGACACAUGACGGAAGUGUGUAUUUUUGGGCCACUCCACGGCAGGUCCCUAGCCUGCAACAUUUAUGUCGCAUGUCAAUCCGAAGAGUGAUGCCCACCCAAGAAGUUCAGGAGCUGCCGAUUCCUUCCAAGCUUUUGGAGUUUCUCUCGUAUCGUAUUUAGAAGAUUCUGCCUUCCCUAGUAGUAGGGACUGACAGAAUACACUUAACACAAACCUCAAGCUUUACUGACUUCAAUUAUCUGUUUUUAAAGACGUAGAAGAUUUAUUUAAUUUGAUAUGUUCUUGUACUGCAUUUUGAUCAGUUGAGCUUUUAAAAUAUUAUUUAUAGACAAUAGAAGUAUUUCUGAACAUAUCAAAUAUAAAUUUUUUUAAAGAUCUAACUGUGAAAACAUACAUACCUGUACAUAUUUAGAUAUAAGCUGCUAUAUGUUGAAUGGACCCUUUUGCUUUUCUGAUUUUUAGUUCUGACAUGUAUAUAUUGCUUCAGUAGAGCCACAAUAUGUAUCUUUGCUGUAAAGUGCAAGGAAAUUUUAAAUUCUGGGACACUGAGUUAGAUGGUAAAUACUGACUUACGAAAGUUGAAUUGGGUGAGGCGGGCAAAUCACCUGAGGUCAGCAGUUUGAGACUAGCCUGGCAAACAUGAUGAAACCCUGUCUCUACUAAAAAUACAAAAAAAAAAAAAAUUAGCCAGGCGUGGUGGUGCACACCUGUAGUCCUAGCUACUUGGGAGGCUGAGGCAGGAGAAUUGCUUGAACCCAGGAGGUGGAGGUUGCAGUAAGCCAAGAUCACACCACUGCACUCCAACCUGGACAACAGAGCGAGACUCCAUCUCAAAAAAAAAAAAAAAUUGUGUUGCCUCAUACGAAAUGUAUUUGGUUUUGUUGGAGAGUGUCAGACUGAUCUGGAAGUGAAACACAGUUUAUGUACAGGGAAAAGGAUUUUAUUAUCCUUAGGAAUGUCAUCCAAGACGUAGAGCUUGAAUGUGACGUUAUUUAAAAACAACAACAAAGAAGGCAGAGCCAGGAUAUAACUAGAAAAAGGAUGUCUUUUUUUUUUUUUUUACUCCCCCUCUAAACACUGCUGCUGCCUUAAUUUUAGAAAGCAGCUUACUAGUUUACCCUUGUGGUAUAAAGUAUUAUAAAUUGUUGUGAAUUUGAAGAAUCCGUCUACUGUAUUAUUGCUAAAUAUUUUGUUUAUACUAAGGGACAAUUAUUUUAAGACCAUGGAUUUAAAAAAAAAAAAAAAAACUCUGUUUCUGCAGGGGAUGAUAUUGGUGAGUUGCCAAAGAAGCAAUACAGCAUAUCUGCUUUUGCCUUCUGUUGUUUAUCUUACCUGCAGAUAUUAAGAAUGUAUGCAUUAUGUAAAAUGCUCAAUUAUAUAUUUUUGUUGAGUUUUUUAAUUAAAGACUUGUAAAAAAAAAAAACAGUAUAUUGCAAAUGUUUCUUAAAUAGGUUAGGUGGAGUACUUUCUCUCUGUCUCCAUUGUAAGGUUGAUGGUACACCACAGGCAAAUUAAGCAAAAAGGACAAUGAAGAAAGAAUGCAGGACUCAGGCGCUGCUCUAGAAUUCAUUCAGGGCUCCCCGAGUGCAGCAGCUCUUAUGGUGGUUUUGUUUUUAGGAGAACUGUUGUAAUAAUGCAUAUUUUAAAAGCAUAGGGAAGCUCUAGAACACAGGAAGGUGACUACUAAGCAAGAGAAAAGUAUCUUUUAGUGGGGAACUACCAGCCUAUAGUAAGUCUAUCUGGUUAAAGUAGUUAUUAUGAAAAUCUAGCAGUCUGGGUCCUUUGAGAAGGCAUUAAAAAAGCAAAACUCUUAUGAGCCAUGUGUGAUUUUGAAGACUCAUUUCCACUGAGAAAUUAUUUGGAAGUUCCUAUGGUUAGCUCUGUUAAGGAAUGUAAAAAUUUAUAGGGGGUGUAGGGUUAUCAAUUUGAAAGCCAGUAGAAAAUCUGCUCAAGUUACUUCUUGAGGAUCAUCUGUAUUUUACAAAAAGAAGCACAAGAAGCAUCUAAUCUUUAUACUUCUUGUGACUUUUUUUCCCCUGCAUUUUACUUUGUAAUAUAUCGGCUUUAUAAUUUUAAAAUACACUGGCCGGGCGCAGUGGCCCACACCUAUAAUCCCAGCACUUUGGGAGGCCAAGGCAGGUGGGUCACUUAAGGCCGGGAGUUCAUGACAAGCCUGACCAACAUAGUGAAACCCCUGUCUCUACUAAAAUUACAAAAAUUAGCUGGGCAUGGUGGUGGGUUCCUGUACUCCUAGCUACUUAGGAGGCUGAGGCAAGAGAAUUGCUUGAACUGGAGAAAUGGAGGUUGCAGUGAGCUGAGAUCACGCAACUGCACUCCAGCCUGGGUGACAGAGUAAGACUCUAAAUAAAUAAGAUACCAUUACUUUUCAUAUCAUUGCAUUAUUUUUGCUUUCCACACCAACAUAUCCAGUCAAGUAAAAACAGCUUUUUUUAUUUUUUAUUUUUUAUUUUUUUUGAGACGGAGUCUCACACUGUCACCUGGGCUGGAGUGCAGUGGUGCGAUCUUGGCUCACUGCAGCCUCCACCUCCUGGGUUCAAGCAAUUCUCCUGCCUCAGCCUCCCAAGCAGCUGGGAUUACAGGCGCUCCCCCACCACGCCCAGCUAAUUUUUGUUGUAUUUUUAGGACAGACGGCGUUUCACUGUUGGCCAGACUGGUCUCAAACUCCUGACCUCGUGAUCCGCCCGCCUCGGCCUCCCAGAGUGCUGGGAUUAUAGGUGUGAGCCACCGAACCUGGCCCAAAACAGCAUUUUUGGAAGCUACAUUCUGUGAGAUGUUCACCUGUUUGCCACCUCUUCUCGUGAAAACCAUAGUGAGUGCCAGUGUGAAAGGAAGAUUGCAGCGUAUAUGUCAAGUAGAAACAUGUUUGAAUUUUCCAUUUGUCUGUGGGGAAGAAGGUAAUAACAGUAAUAACAGACUGAAGGACCAAAGGAAAAUAGGGAAGACGUUGAUUAUGGACUUGGAUCAGAUUCUAGCUACAUGAUUUGAAAAUGACACUGCCUCUCCUAUUUUGCCACAAGCCUGUCAUUUGGAGAACUGGCAGAUCAUUUAUGUUCAGAUUUAAUUUUCUGUUUUAGAAUCCCAUGGAGUACAUGUGAACAUAGGAAAAUCACACUCAGCAGCCAAGCUAUCCUUUUGCGAUAAUGAAAUCACUUUAAAACCUAUAACUUGAUCUUAGGUUGGCAAAUCUUAAACUUAACGAUCCUUGAAAUUUCCUGCCUGCUGUGACUGUGAUGCAGUUGGAUUCAACUGGUUUACACUGCUCUUGGGUCGGCAAGACCAAAAAAGGUUGGACUGCACUGUAGCAUGCUUAUGGGUUGAGGCAGUGGCAGAGGCAGAGGACUUGGCCGUCAGCCAGCCAGCACAGGCGUAAGAAAAUAGCAUGAGAAGUUUCACGAGCCUGAAACCAUUGAGACAGUGAUUACAACCUCCAUAUUAAUCAGAUGAGGGUUUGUAGGUGACAUAGCAUUUUACCCAAGUAAUUCUGAACAGACUGUGGCUUAUGAUAAUACAUUUUAACUAGCAAGUGUGUGGACUAUAAAACAAAUAUCUAGAGUUAUAUAUGGAUGUACUAUCAUUUGGUGAUAAAAGCAUAGAAAAAGCAUAAGUUGGAGUAUACUGGGUUUUUUUGUUGUUGUUAAAUUCUUUUCCAUCAGAAGUAAGAGCUGUUGGCAGCAACUAAUAAAAUGCAACCUAGUGA